rnacentral:rRNA from 1 species
UACGGAGGGGGCGAGCGUUAUUCGGAAUUAUUGGGCGUAAAGGGCGCGUAGGCGGCCUUGCAAGUCAAAGGUGAAAUCCCUCGGCUCAACUGAGGAACUGCCUUUGAAACUGCACGGCUUGAGGCCGGGAGGGGGUAGCGGAAUUCCCAGUGUAGCGGUGAAAUGCGUAGAUAUUGGGAGGAACACCGAUGGCGAAGGCAAUCCCCUGGGCCUGCACUGACGCUCAUGCACGAAAGCGUGGGGAGCAAACAGG